rfam:Aspergillus oryzae strain BCC7051 OAory_C05, whole genome shotgun sequence.
GUCAGUAUGGCCGAGUGGUUAAGGCGAUAGACUCGAAUUCUGAUAUCUAUUGGGUUCGCCCGCCUAGGUUCAAGUCCUAGUGCUGACG